UACGUAGGGGGCAAGCGUUGUCCGGAAUCAUUGGGCGUAAAGAGCGUGUAGGCGGCCCGGUAAGUCCGCUGUGAAAGUCCAGGGCUCAACCCUGGGAUGCCGGUGGAUACUGUCGGGCUCGAGUCCGGAAGGGGCGAGUGGAAUUCCUGGUGUAGCGGUGAAAUGCGCAGAUAUCAGGAGGAACACCAAUGGCGAAGGCAGCUCGCUGGAACGGUACUGACGCUGAGGCGCGAAAGCGUGGGGAGCGAACAGG
rnacentral:rRNA from 1 species